CCUACGGGAGGCAGCAGUAGGGAAUAUUGCUCAAUGGGGGAAACCCUGACGCAGCAACGCCGCGUGGGGGAUGAAGGUUUUCGGAUUGUAAACUCCUGUUGUUAGAGAAGAUAAUUACGGUAUCUAACUGCUCAGCACCGGCUGACUCCGUGCCAGCAGCCGCGGUCAUACGGAGGGUGCAAGCGUGCCUCGGAAUCACUGUGCGUAAAGAGCGCGUAGGCGGGUUAGCAAGUAAGAUGUGAAAUCCUAUCGCUUAACCAUAGAAAUUCAUUUGAAACUGGUAUUCUAGAGUAUGGGAGAGGUAGGUGGAAUUCUUGGGGUAGGGGUAAAAUCCGUAGAGAUCAAGAGGAAAACUCAGUGCGAAGGCGACCUGCUAGAACAUAACUGACGCCGAUGCGUGAAAGCGUGGGGAGCAAACAGGAUUAGAUACCCUAGUAGUC
rnacentral:rRNA from 1 species